UAUNGGUCAAUGGACGCGAGUCUGAACCAGCNAAGUAGCGUGAAGGAUGACUGCCCUAUGGGUUGUAAACUUCUUUUAUAUGGGAAUAAAGUUUUCCACGUGUGGAAUUUUGUAUGUACCAUAUGAAUAAGGAUCGGCUCACUCCGUGCCAGCAGCCGCGGUAAUACGGAGGAUCCGAGCGUUAUCCGGAUUUAUUGGGUUUAACGGGAGAGUAGGUGGACAGUUAAGUCAGUUGUGAAAGUUUGGGGCUCAACCGUAAAAGUGCAGUUGAUACUGGAUGUCUUGAGUACAGUAGAGGUGGGCGGAAUUCGUGGUGUAGCGGUGAAAUGCUUAGAUAUCACGAAGAACUCCGAUUGCGAAGGCAGCUCACUGGACUGUUAACUGACACUGAGGCUCGAAAGUGUGGGUAUCAA
rnacentral:rRNA from 1 species